rnacentral:rRNA from 1 species
UUGACUGUGCUAAGGUAGCAUAAUAAAUUGGCUUUUAAUUGAAGUCGGGAAUGAAAGGGUGUUUGGAGUUACUCUGUCUUAUUUUUAUUUUUUAAAAAUUACUAAUGAGGUGAAAAUUCCUCAAUAUUAUUUGAUAGACGAGAAGACCCUAAGAAUUAUUACAACUAUUAAAAAUUUAAUAAAAGUUUUUGUUGGGGCAACAAUUUUGAAAAUAAUAACCAAAGUUAAAUUUAUUUCAAACAUAAAAAUUAUAAUUAAAAUGGAUUUAAUUACCUUAGGGAUAACAGCAUAAUUAUAUUUUAUAGAUUGUGACCUCGAUGUUGGAUUAAGGCCU